rnacentral:rRNA from 1 species
GAUGAACGCUGGCGGCGUGCCUAAUACAUGCAAGUCGAGCGAACAGACGAGGAGCUUUCGCCUCUGACGUUAGCGGCGGACGGGUGAGUAACACGUGGAUAACCUACCUAUAAGACUGGGAUAACUUCGGGAAACCGGAGCUAAUACCGGAUAAUAUAUUGAACCGCAUGGUUCAAUAGUUAAAGACGGUUUUGCUGUCACUUAUAGAUGGAUCCGCGCCGCAUUAGCUAGUUGGUAAGGUAACGGCUUACCAAGGCAACGAUGCGUAGCCGACCUGAGAGGGUGAUCGGCCACACUGGAACUGAGACACGGUCCAGACUCCUACGGGAGGCAGCAGUAGGGAAUAUUCCGCAAUGGGCGAAAGCCUGACGGAGCAACGCCGCGUGAGUGAUGAAGGUCUUCGGAUCGUAAAACUCUGUUAUUAGGGAAGAAAAAAUGUGUAAGUAAAUAUGCACGUCUUGACGGUACCUAAUUAGAAAGCCACGGCUAACUACGUG